rnacentral:rRNA from 1 species
UACGGAGGGUGCGAGCGUUAAUCGGAAUAACUGGGCGUAAAGGGCACGCAGGCGGGCUGUUAAGUGAGGUGUGAAAUCCCCGGGCUUAACCUGGGAAUAGCAUCUCAGACUGGGAGGCUUGAGUACUUUAGGGGGGGGUGGAAUUCCAGGUGUAGCGGUGAAAUGCGUAGAGAUCUGGAGGAAUACCGGUGGCGAAGGCGGCCCCCUGGACGAAGACUGACGCUCAGGUGCGAAAGCGUGGGGAGCAAACAGG